ACUAGCCUUUAGUCAAAUAGUUUGCUUUAAGCGCAAUAACUUUUACUUCUACUUUCUCUUUCAAUAAGGCGUGCAGCGUGUUAAGGUCUAAUUCCGCAGUCUCGGAUUAAUUUUAUUUAAAAUUCAUCAUGAUUAUCUUUAAAGAUCUCAUUACUGGUGAUGAAAUGUUCACAGAUUCAUCGAAAUAUAAGGUUGUGGACGAUUGCUUGUAUGAAGUAGAA